rnacentral:rRNA from 1 species
AAAUUGAAGAGUUUGAUCAUGGCUCAGAUUGAACGCUGGCGGCAGGCCUAACACAUGCAAGUCGAACGGUAACAGGAAGCAGCUUGCUGCUUCGCUGACGAGUGGCGGACGGGUGAGUAAUGUCUGGGAAACUGCCUGAUGGAGGGGGAUAACUACUGGAAACGGUAGCUAAUACCGCAUAACGUCGCAAGACCAAAGAGGGGGACCCUCGGGCCUCUUGCCAUCGGAUGUGCCCAGAUGGGAUUAGCUUGUUGGUGGGGUAACGGCUCACCAAGGCGACGAUCCCUAGCUGGUCUGAGAGGAUGACCAGCCACACUGGAACUGAGACACGGUCCAGACUCCUACGGGAG